GGUACAUUGACGAAUCUAAUGUAUCCAAAAAGGGCUGUCUGAAUAUUAUUGUCGUCACAUCCUAUGAAAUUGAAGAAAAAGUAUUUGACUUACACUGUAGUGGUUGAUACUUUAAAAGCAAUAUUUAAGGAAUAAGGAAUCAUUCUCUGAAUAUUAUGAAGUGAUAAUUUUGGUCGGAACGUGAUCAAAUCCAAUAAAGCCCGAUCAUGCCCCGACCGAAAUUAUUACCUCAUAAUAUUCAAAGAAUGAUUCCUUAUUACUUAUAAUUAUAUGAUUUAAGCCAUCGUAUGGUUAAAUUUUUUGAAAAAUAUAAACAAGCAAACCCCACUGGCGCCUCAAUUUGGAGUUAUUUGAAGUUAUGGGUUAUAUAGUACAAAAUCGAUACGUGUGAUAUCACAGGCAAAGACACUGGAAAAUGUAAAUAUAUGCCAUUAUGAAUUUAGUAAGUGUUAACAAAUUCAUGACUACAAUAGACUCUAAAUUUCUGUAUGCAUCUUAUGCACGUAGCAUCGGAGAGGGGGGGGGGGGGUUAAAAUCGAAGUAAAAUUAACAAUGAAAGGAGUGUUUUGAUACAACUUGCUCUCUUUAAAGGAUUUUAUGAUUGGCUAUAUUUGAUUUUUUUGGAAUGCGCCGAUCUCGAGAUUCUUUUUAAGGACGAAGCAAGGAGACAAGAUUUAUCACACUUUGAUCAUCGAGAGGUAUGGAAAAGAUUUUAUAAUUAAAAAACUCUUUGCAUGGGUGCGUAUAUGUUUUUUUAUUUUCUGAGCCUUUAUACAGGUAAUUUAAAUGUGUCCACUUAGUACGCAGUAAAAAAAAUCCUUUUUUUGUAGAUAUAUUAUGAAAGAUGAGAAUUGUUGAAAAAAAGAGAAAGAAAAAAUAUUUGAACACUAGGUUUU
rnacentral:sRNA from 1 species